GUGCAGCAGGCGCGAAACCUCCGCAAUGCGCGCAAGCGUGACGGGGUCACCCCGAGUGCCGCUCGCUGAGAGCGGCUUUUACCUGGUUUAACCCGCCAGGUGAAUAAGGGGGGGGCAAGCCUGGUGUCAGCCGCCGCGGUAAUACCAGCUCCCCGAGUGGUUGGGACGAUUAUUGGGUCUAAAGCAUCCGUAGCCGGCCGAGGAAGUUCUCCGUUAAAUCCAGCGAUUCAAUCGUUGGACUGCGGAGAAUACUCCUCGGCUAGGGGGCGGGGGAGGCCGGCGGUAGUCCCGGGGUAGGGGCGAAAUCCUAUAAUCCCGGGAGGACCACCAGUGGCGAAGGCGGCCGGCCAAAACGCGCCCGACGGUGAGGGAUGAAAGCUGGGGGAGCGAACGGGAUUAGAUACCCCCGUAGUCC
rnacentral:rRNA from 1 species